UGGUCAGAGCAUCAGACUGUUAAUCUGGGGGUCACUGGUUAGA
rnacentral:tRNA from 14 species